rnacentral:rRNA from 1 species
GAUGAACGCUAGCGGGAGGCCUAACACAUGCAAGCCGAGCGGUAUUGUUUCUUCGGAAAUGAGAGAGCGGCGUACGGGUGCGGAACACGUGUGCAACCUGCCUUUAUCUGGGGGAUAGCCUUUCGAAAGGAAGAUUAAUACUCCAUAAUAUAUUAAUUGGCAUCAAUUGAUAUUGAAAGCUCCGGCGAAUAGAGAUGGGCACGCGCAAGAUUAGCUAGUUGGUGAGGUAACGGCUCACCAAGGCGAUGAUCUUUAGGGGGCCUGAGAGGGUGAUCCCCCACACUGGUACUGAGACACGGACCAGACUCCUACGGGAGGCAGCAGUGAGGAAUAUUGGUCAAUGGGUGCAAGCCUGAACCAGCCAUCCCGCGUGAAGGAUUAAGGUCCUAUGGAUUGUAAACUUCUUUUGUAUAGGGAUAAACCUACCCUCGUGAGGGUAGCUGAAGGUACUAUACGAAUAAGCACCGGCUAACUCCGUGCCAGCAGCCGCGGUAACAC